rnacentral:rRNA from 1 species
AUUGAACGCUGGCGGCAGGCCUCACACAUGCAAGUCGAACGAGUGGCGGACGGGUGAGUAAUGUCUGGGAAACUGCCUGCUGGAGGGGGAUAACUACUGGAAACGGUAGUUAAUACCGCAUACUACCAGCUGUGCCCAGAUGGGAUUAGCUUGUUGGUGGGGUAACGGCUCCCCAAGGCGACGAUCCCUAGCUGGUCUGAGAGGAUGACCAGCGACACUGGAACUGAGACACGGUCCAGAAGCCUACGGAAGGGAGCAGUGGGAAAUAUGGCACAAUGGGCGCAAGCCUGAUGCAGCCAUGCCGCGUGUAUGAAGAGGGCCUUCGGGGUGUAAAGUACUUUCAGCGGGGAGGCGUUACCCGCAGAAGAAGCACCGGCUAACUCCGUGCCAGCCGCCGCGGUAAUUC